rnacentral:rRNA from 1 species
UACUGGGCGUAAGCGCUGCAGGCGGUGUGUUAAGUCAGAUGUGAAGCCGGGGCUCAACCUCGGAACCGCAUUUGAAACUGGCAGGCUAGAGUCUGUAGAGGGGGGUAGAAUUCAGGUGUAGCGGUGAAAUGCGUAGAGAUCUGAAGGAAUACCAGUGGCGAAGGCGGCCCCCUGGACAAAGACUGACGCUCAGAUGCGAAAGCGUGGGUAGCAAACAGGAUUAGAUACCCUGGUAGUCCACGCCGUAAACGCUGUCUACUUGGAGGUUGAGGUUUAGACUUUGGCUUUCGGCGCUAACGCAUUAAGUAUACCGCCUGGGGAGUACGGCCGCAAGGUUAAAACUCAAAUGAAUUGACGGGGGCCCGCACAAGCGGUGGAGCAUGUGGUUUAAUUCGAUGCAACGCGAAGAACCUUACCUACUCUUGACAUCCAGAGAACUUUCCAGAGAUGGAUGGGUGCCUUCGGGAGCUCUGAGACAGGUGCUGCAUGGCUGUCGUCAGCUCGUGUGUGAAAUGUUGGGUAAGUCCCGCAACGAGCGCAACCCUUAUCCUUGUUGCCAGCACGUAAUGGUGGGAACUCCAGGAGACUGCCGUGAUAACCGGAGAGGUGGGGACGACGUCAGUCAUCAUGCCUACGAUAGGGCUACACACGUGCUACAAUGCAGAUACAGAGG